AUUGUGCUUAUUCCUUAAUUCAAAUGCACUUUAUAUCUGUUUCUAUGGUGAUAAUAAUAUAAUGCACAGGGAAUGUUAACAGUCUCAAACAGACUGGAUCCUGAGAUGAUCUGAGCAACUCCUGGAAGGGCUGAGGAUCCUUAGCUCCUGGAAGCAAUAGAAGUGGAACAUAUCAAAGGAAAACUGUUACAUUUUACAAGACCACUUGCUGAUGUUCAUCUGCAUUGCAUCACUCUGAAACCAAGAGCAGCUGCACUGCUUACUGUAAGCACAUCUGGAAACAGGAGCUGUGUGUUUUGCCCAGACAAUCGUGAAAAUAAAACUCAGAGUUUGAAGGUUUAUGUUUAUUUUCAUUUUGUCUUACUUUGCUGCUGAUUUAAGUCAAAUGACUUUA
rnacentral:lncRNA from 1 species